GAUGAACGCUGGCGGCGUGCUUAACACAUGCAAGUCGAACGGGAAUUAUUUUAUUGAAACUUCGGUCGAUUUAAUUUAAUUCUAGUGGCGGACGGGUGAGUAACGCGUGGGUAACCUGCCUUAUACAGGGGGAUAACGGUCAGAAAUGGCUGCUAAUACCGCAUAAGCGCACAGAGCUGCAUGGCUCAGUGUGAAAAACUCCGGUGGUAUAAGAUGGACCCGCGUUGGAUUAGCUGGUUGGUGGGGUAACGGCCCACCAAGGCGACGAUCCAUAGCCGGCCUGAGAGGGUGAACGGCCACAUUGGGACUGAGACACGGCCCAGACUCCUACGGGAGGCAGCAGUGGGGAAUAUUGCACAAUGGGGGAAACCCUGAUGCAGCGACGCCGCGUGAAGGAAGAAGUAUCUCGGUAUGUAAACUUCUAUCAGCAGGGAAGAUAGUGACGGUACCUGACUAAGAAGCCCCGGCUAACUACGUG
rnacentral:rRNA from 1 species